rnacentral:rRNA from 1 species
UUGAGUUUGAUCAUGGCUCAGGACGAACGCUGGCGGCGUGCCUCAUACCUGCAAGUCGAGCGAGGUGUAGCAAUACACCUAGCGGCGGACCGGUGAGUAACACGUGGGCAACCUGCCUCAGAGACAGGGAUAACACUCCGAAAGGAGUGCUAAUACCUGGUAAGCUCACAAGGCCACAUGGUCUGGUGAGAAAAGGAGCAAUCCGCUUUGAGAUGGGCCCGCGUCCCAUUAGCUAGUUGGUAGGGUAACGGCCUACCAAGGCGACGAUGGGUAGCCGACCUGAGAGGGUGAUCGGCCACACUGGAACUGAGAGACGGUUCAGACUCCUACGGGAGGCAGCAGUAGGGAAUCUUCCGCAAUGGGCGAAAGCCUGACGGAGCAACGCCGCGUUUUUUUUUAAGGCCUUCGGGUCGUAAAGCUCUGUCUUCAGUGACGAAUGAGACGGUAACUGAGGAGGAAGCCACGGCAAACUACGUGCCAGCAGCCGCGGUAA